rnacentral:sRNA from 1 species
CGCAGCCGCGGUAAUUCCAGCUCCAAUAGCGUAUAUUAAAGUUGUUGCAGUUAAAAAGCUCGUAGUUGAAUUUCGGGAUCAAUUGAUUGGUCAUGCCUUGGUAUGUACUGGUCAUAUUGGUUCUCACCUUCUAAUGAACCAUAAUGUCAUUUACUUGAUGUUAUGGGGAAUUAGGACUGUUACCUUGAAAAAUUAGAGUGUUUAAAGCAGGCUUACGCUUGAAUACAUUAGCAUGGAAUAAUGAAAUAGGACAUCGCAUUCUAUUUUGUUGGUUUCUAGGAUCGAUGUAAUGAUUAAUAGGGAUAGUUGGGGGCAUUAGUAUUCAAUUGUCAGAGGUGAAAUUCUUGGAUUUAUUGAAGACUAACUACUGCGAAAGCAUUUGCCAAGGAUGUUUUCAUUAAUCAAGAACGAAAGUUAGGGGAUCGAAGACGAUCAGAUACCGUCGUAGUCUUAACCAUAAACUAUGCCGAC